UACGUAGGUGGCAAGCGUUGUCCGGAAUUAUUGGGCGUAAAGCGCGCGCAGGCGGUCCUUUAAGUCUGAUGUGAAAGCCCACGGCUCAACCGUGGAAGGUCAUUGGAAACUGGGGGACUUGAGUACAGAAGAGGAAAGCGGAAUUCCACGUGUAGCAGUGAAAUGCGUAGAGAUGUGGAGGAAUACCGAUGGCGAAGGCAGCCCCCUGGGCUAACACUGACGCUCAUGCACGAAAGCGUGGGGAGCAAACAGG
rnacentral:rRNA from 1 species